rnacentral:rRNA from 1 species
UACGGAGGGUGCAAGCGUUAUCCGGAUUCACUGGGUUUAAAGGGUGCGUAGGCGGGUAAGUAAGUCCGUGGUGAAAUUUCUGAGCUUAACUCAGAAACUGCCGUGGAUACUAUUUGCCUUGAAUAUUGUGGAGGUGAGCGGAAUAUGUCAUGUAGCGGUGAAAUGCUUAGAUAUGACAUAGAACACCAAUUGCGAAGGCAGCUCACUACACAAUCAUUGACGCUGAGGCACGAAAGCGUGGGGAUCAAACAGG